AUUGAACGCUGGCGGCAUGCUUUACACAUGCAAGUCGAACGGUAACAGGCCGCAAGGUUCUGACGAGUGGCGGACGGGUGAGUAAUGCAUCGGAACGUGCCCAGUCCUGGGGUUUAACUACUCUUAAGAGUAGCUAAUCCCGCAUACGAUCUAUGGAUGAGCGCGGGGGACCGUAAGGCCUCGCGCGAUUGGAGCGGCCGAUGUCAGCUUAGGUAGUUGGUGGGGUAAAGGUUCACCAAGGCCACGAGCUGUAGCUGGUCUGAGAGGACGACCAGCCACACUGGGACUGAGACACGGCCCAGACUCCUACGGGAGGCAGCAGUGGGGAAUUUUGGACAAUGGGCGCAAGCCUGAUCCAGCAAGGCCGCGUGCAGGAAGAAGGCCUUCGGGUUGUAAACUGCUUUUGUACGGAACGAAACGGCUCUGGUUAAUACCCGGGGCUAAUGACGGUACCGGAAGAAUAAGCACCGGCUAACUACGUG
rnacentral:rRNA from 1 species